AGUGAACGCUGGCGGUAGGCCUAACACAUGCAAGUCGAACGGCAGCACAGAGGAGCUUGCUCCUUGGGUGGCGAGUGGCGGACGGGUGAGGAAUACAUCGGAAUCUACUCUGUCGUGGGGGAUAACGUAGGGAAACUUACGCUAAUACCGCAUACGACCUACGGGUGAAAGCAGGGGACCUUCGGGCCUUGCGCGAUUGAAUGAGCCGAUGUCGGAUUAGCUAGUUGGCGGGGUAAAGGCCCACCAAGGCGGCGAUCCGUAGCUGGUCUGAGAGGAUGGUCAGCCACACUGGAACUGAGACACGGUCCAGACUCCUACGGGAGGCAGCAGUGGGGAAUAUUGGACAAUGGGCGCAAGCCUGAUCCAGCCAUACCGCGUGGGUGAAGAAGGCCUUCGGGUUGUAAAGCCCUUUUGUUGGGAAAGAAAUCCAGCUGGCUAAUACCCGGUUGGGAUGACGGUACCCAAAGAAUAAGCACCGGCUAACUUCGUGCCAGCAGCCGCGGUAA
rnacentral:rRNA from 1 species